rnacentral:pre_miRNA from 14 species
CUCUCCCCAGGAUCCACUUGAAAGACCCCCAGGGCGGGGAGACCCUCACUCAAGUCUCGGGAUGAUGCGACCCCCCCAAGAACUCACGUGAGACC